CCCAGCUUGCUGGGGGAUUAGUGGCGAACGGGUGAGUAACACGUGAGUAACCUGCCCUUGACUCUGGGAUAAGCCUGGGAAACUGGGUCUAAUACCGGAUAUGACUCCUCAUCGCAUGGUGGGGGGUGGAAAGCUUUUGUGGUUUUGGAUGGACUCGCGGCCUAUCAGCUUGUUGGUGGGGUAAUGGCCUACCAAGGCGACGACGGGUAGCCGGCCUGAGAGGGUGACCGGCCACACUGGGACUGAGACACGGCCCAGACUCCUACGGGAGGCAGCAGUGGGGAAUAUUGCACAAUGGGCGCAAGCCUGAUGCAGCGACGCCGCGUGAGGGAUGACGGCCUUCGGGUUGUAAACCUCUUUCAGUAGGGAAGAAGCGUAAGUGACGGUACCUGCAGAAGAAGCGCCGGCUAACUACGUGCCAGCAGCCGCGGUAAUACGUAGGGCGCAAGCGUUAUCCGGAAUUAUUGGGCGUAAAGAGCUCGUAGGCGGUUUGUCGCGUCUGCUGUGAAAGACCGGGGCUCAACUCCGGUUCUGCAGUGGGUACGGGCAGACUAGAGUGCAGUAGGGGAGACUGGAAUUCCUGGUGUAGCGGUGAAAUGCGCAGAUAUCAGGAGGAACACCGAUGGCGAAGGCAGGUCUCUGGGCUGUAACUGACGCUGAGGAGCGAAAGCAUGGGGAGCGAACAGGAUUAGAUACCCUGGUAGUCCAUGCCGUAAACGUUGGGCACUAGGUGUGGGGGACAUUCCACGUUUUCCGCGCCGUAGCUAACGCAUUAAGUGCCCCGCCUGGGGAGUACGGCCGCAAGGCUAAAACUCAAAGGAAUUGACGGGNGGCCCGCACAAGCGGCGGAGCAUGCNGGAUUAAUUCGAUGCAACGCGAAGAACCUUACCAAGGCUUGACAUGAACCGGUAAUGCCUGGRAACAGGUGCNCCCGCUUGCGGUCNGGUUUACAGGUGGUGCAUGGUUGUCGUCAGCUCGUGUCGUGAGAUGUUGGGUUAAGUCCCGCAACGAGCGCAACCCUCGUUCUAUGUUGCCAGCGCGUGAUGGCGGGGACUCAUAGGAGACUGCCGGGGUCAACUCGGAGGAAGGUGGGGACGACGUCAAAUCAUCAUGCCCCUUAUGUCUUGGGCUUCACGCAUGCUACAAUGGCCGGUACAAAGGGUUGCGAUACUGUGAGGUGGAGCUAAUCCCAAAAAGCCGGUCUCAGUUCGGAUUGGGGUCUGCAACUCGACCCCAUGAAGUCGGAGUCGCUAGUAAUCGCAGAUCAGC
rnacentral:rRNA from 1 species